rnacentral:tRNA from 1 species
UAGGGGGUAGCACAAGUGGAGUGCGUAAAAUUUUGAAUUUUUUGAUGUUGGUUCAACUCCAACCCUUCUAU